UUUACUUCUGGCCCAGAAGGUGGGCCACCUCCGGACCUCGCUUACCACAAGGAUUUAUAAUAUACAACGAGUGAUGUACAGGUCCUAUGGCUGGAUUGAUAGCACACUCGGCUCAUAUGCUGAGUGUUCGUGGUUCAUUCUCCGGCAUGGGUGGAAACAUUGAGCAUACUUCCUUACACCUGCUUCCCCUGUUCAUCUAGCAGGAGAAGGCAAUUCUAUCUUGACUUUUCCUGACAUGUAUGGCUGCAAUGCUGCUGGUAUAUUGAUAGUUCCAUCAUGAGAUUGAAACGUCUCGCACAGAGCUAUAAGUGUUCGAGGGAUUGCACAAGCUGUACCAUUC